GAUGAACGCUAGCGGCAGGCCUAACACAUGCAAGUCGGACGGUAACAGCACUUCGGUGGCUGACGAGUGGCGCACGGGUGCGUAACGCGUAUGCAACCUACCUCUUACAGUGGGAUAGCCCAGAGAAAUUUGGAUUAAUACCGCAUAGUAUAAAGCUACAGCAUUGUGGUUUUAUUAAACAUUCAUGGGUAAGAGAUGGGCAUGCGUUCUAUUAGUUAGUUGGAGUGGUAACGGCACCCCAAGACAGCGAUAGAUAGGGGCCCUGAGAGGGGGAUCCCCCACACUGGUACUGAGACACGGACCAGACUCCUACGGGAGGCAGCAGUGAGGAAUAUUGGUCAAUGGGCGAAAGCCUGAACCAGCCAUGCCGCGUGCAGGAAGACUGCCCUAUGGGUUGUAAACUGCUUUUAUACAGGAAGAAACACUCGGACGUGUCCGAGCUUGACGGUACUGUAUGAAUAAGCACCGGCUAACUCCGUG
rnacentral:rRNA from 1 species